AUCGAACGCUGGCGGCAUGCCUUACACAUGCAAGUCGAACGGUAACAGGUUAAGCUGACGAGUGGCGAACGGGUGAGUAAUGUAUCGGAACGUGCCCAGUCGUGGGGGAUAACUGCUCGAAAGAGCAGCUAAUACCGCAUACGACCUGAGGGUGAAAGCGGGGGAUCGCAAGACCUCGCGCGAUUGGAGCGGCCGAUAUCAGAUUAGGCAGUUGGUGAGGUAAAGGCUCACCAAGCCGACGAUCUGUAGCUGGUCUGAGGGGACGACCAGCCACACUGGGACUGAGACACGGCCCAGACUCCUACGGGAGGCAGCAGUGGGGAAUUUUGGACAAUGGGCGCAAGCCUGAUCCAGCCAGGCCGCGUGCGGGAAGAAGGCCUUCGGGUUGUAAACCGCUCUUGUCAGGGAAGAAAAGGUUCUGGCUAAUACCUGGGACUCAUGACGGUACCUGAAGAAUAAGCACCGGCUAACUACGUGCCAGCCGCCGCGGUAAAAC
rnacentral:rRNA from 1 species